rnacentral:rRNA from 1 species
AUUGAACGCUGGCGGCAUGCUUUACACAUGCAAGUCGAACGGUAACAGGGAGCUUGCUCCGCUGACGAGUGGCGAACGGGUGAGUAACGCAUCGGAACGUACCCAGUCGUGGGGGGAUAACGUAGCGAAAGUUACGCUAAUACCGCAUACGUCCUGAGGGAGAAAGCGGGGGACCGUAAGGCCUCGCGCGAUUGGAGCGGCCGAUGUCGGAUUAGCUAGUUGGUAGGGUAAAGGCCUACCAAGGCGACGAUCCGUAGCGGGUCUGAGAGGAUGAUCCGCCACACUGGGACUGAGACACGGCCCAGACUCCUACGGGAGGCAGCAGUGGGGAAUUUUGGACAAUGGGCGAAAGCCUGAUCCAGCCAUGCCGCGUGAGUGAAGGAGGCCUUCGGGUUGUAAAGCUCUUUCUAGCCGGAAAGAAAUACGCGCAGGAGUAAUACUCUGCGUGGAUGACGGUACCGGAAGAAGAAGCACCGGCUAACUACGUGCC